UCCUUCCGAGCGGGUGAGUGUGG
rnacentral:piRNA from 1 species